rfam:Ancylostoma ceylanicum strain HY135 Acey_s0016_scaf, whole genome shotgun sequence.
CUGUGCCGGACAGUUGGUUUUCACCUUGAUCUGGGAGUGUAGUGCAUCUGAGAUCAUCGUGAAAGCUAGUUGUCGAAGCGUC